rnacentral:rRNA from 1 species
GAUGAACGCUGACAGAAUGCUUAACACAUGCAAGUCAACUGUGGCGGACGGGUGAGUAACGCGUAAAGAACUUACCUCACAGUUGGGGACAACAUUUGGAAACGGAUGCUAAUACCUGAUACUGUGAGAGAGCUUUGCGUCCCAUUAGCUAGUUGGAGAGGUAACGGCUCACCAAGGCGAGGAUGGGUAGCCGGCCUGAGAGGGGGAUCGGGUACGAGGGGACUGAGACACGGCCCGUACUCAUACGGGAGGCAGCAGUGGGGACUAUUGGACAAUGGACCAAAGUCUGAUUCAGACAUUCUGUGUGUAAGAUGAAUUUUUCGGAAUGUAAAGGUCUUUCAGUUGGGACGCGGUACCAACAGAAGAAGUGACGGCUAAAUACGUGCCAGCAGCCGCGGUAAUUC